CUACGUGCCAGCAGCCGCGGUAAUACGUAGGUCCCGAGCGUUGUCCGGAUUUAUUGGGCGUAAAGCGAGCGCAGGCGGUUAGAUAAGUCUGAAGUUAAAGGCUGUGGCUUAACCAUAGUACGCUUUGGAAACUGUUUAACUUGAGUGCAAGAGGGGAGAGUGGAAUUCCAUGUGUAGCGGUGAAAUGCGUAGAUAUAUGGAGGAACACCGGUGGCGAAAGCGGCUCUCUGGCUUGUAACUGACGCUGAGGCUCGAAAGCGUGGGGAGCAAACAGGAUUAGAUACCCUGGUAGUCCACGCCGUAAACGAUGAGUGCUAGGUGUUAGACCCUUUCCGGGGUUUAGUGCCGUAGCUAACGCAUUAAGCACUCCGCCUGGGGAGUACGACCGCAAGGUUGAAACUCAAAGGAAUUGACGGGGGCCCGCACAAGCGGUGGAACAUGUGGUUUAAUUCGAAGCAACGCGAAGAACCUUACCAGGUCUUGACAUCCCUCUGACCGCUCUAGAGAUAGAGUUUUC
rnacentral:rRNA from 1 species